rnacentral:misc_RNA from 1 species
GGCAACAGACAGCUUGAAAAGUGCCAAGAGUGCUCCGUUCUUGGAGAAGUUGGUUCAAAAAGGCAUUGAGGUGUGUGCAUUUGUCUUGUAUACUUUUCAGUAGACUGAUACAUCUUCGUCUUCAUGCAGUAACACAAAUGUAUUCUUAAUUUGAGCUCAUUAGUAGUAAGCAAAUGAGAUUAAGCAUGACAUAACCACUCAUGCAUACGUAUAAGGAAAUAUAUCAAAGCAGGGAUAAAAUAGAUUAUUGUUGCAGUAGUUUAAACAUCUUUGUUAACUUCUCUUUUUGAGCAAAUGUUUGUUGACUAAUUGAUGAAACUA